rnacentral:lncRNA from 1 species
UGUAUGUACGUAGUGGGGAAUUUUCCGAUGCUACCUGAUACAUAAAUUAACCCCAUUAAACCCUCCCAAUAACGACAGACAACUUAGUAUGGAUGAAACAGGCCACAGCAUUUAUUAUAACAUAAAUAAAUAAAUACUGCAUAACACAUCCAUAACUUUAUUUAUUCAAAAUCUUCUUUCUGUAACCAAAAUUGUUAAACAUAAAUAAGCAUAAAUUAACAUAUAUACAUAUAUAACAACACACAGUGUUAUACAGUAACCCAACCGUCCUUGCCAAUAAACAUACCGUGGUUCCUAAUCACCACUUCCUCUCACCUCGUCAUAAAUCAUACCAUUCCAAUGCCCGCCAUCAGCCGACCUUAUCCACGCUCAAUGGGCACGAUACCUCAGGCAACCUAAAGUUAACCGUUUAAAGCAGGGGAGGUUGAGACUUGCCAACUUAUUAACUCACUCCAACCAUAAAA